AAACAUGAAGUUUUGUUGAUUUUUAAAUUAAAGUGUAAGAAUUAAUUAUUCCUUAACUCUGUCACACAUACAACAACCUAGGACAGUUGAUCUGUGUGGUUUGUAACCAGCAGGUUAAGAAUGAAAUACUGUGGACAGCUCAUCUUCAAGGAAAAAAACAUAAAGAUAAUGUAGUACUACUGAAGACUGGAAAGCAAGCCGGUAAUAAGGUAGUAAGUACGUACCCUGCGAGAAGCAACCCUCUACCACUAUCACAGUCUACUACUUCUGCCAAGAGGAAAGCAGAACCAGCCGCUACGGCACAACCUGUUAAGGGCAUACUGAAGAAACCAAGAAUUGGUCUACCCUAUGAUGACUCCUCAUCUGAUGAAUCAGACAAUGAAAAAACACAAGACAAGUAAG